AGAGUCUGAUCCUGGCUCAGGAUGAACGCUAGCGGCAGGCCUAAUACAUGCAAGUCGAACGGUAAAUAUUUAGCAAUAAAUAUGAGAGUGACGUACGGGUGCGUAACACGUAUGCAACCUACCCUUUACAGGCGGAUAGCUCGGGGAAACUCGAAUUAACCCGCCGUAAUAUAAUUGGAUGGCAUCAUCUGGUUAUUAAAUCUACGGAGGUAAAGGAUGGGCAUGCGUCUGAUUAGUUAGUUGGCGGGGUAACGGCCCACCAAGACGAUGAUCAGUAGGGGAACUGAGAGGUUGAUCCCCCACACUGGCACUGAGAUACGGGCCAGACUCCUACGGGAGGCAGCAGUAGGGAAUAUUGGUCAAUGGAUGGAAGUCUGAACCAGCCAUGCCGCGUGCAGGAAGAAGGCCUUCUGGGUUGUAAACUGCUUUUGCCAGGGGAUAAAAUGACCUUGCGAGGUUAAUUGAAGGUACCUGGUGAAUAAGCCACGGCUAACUACGUGCCAGCAGCCGCGGUAAUACGUAGGUGGCAAGCGUUGUCCGGAUUUAUUGGGUUUAAAGGGUGCGUAGGCGGCUUAUUAAGUCAGUGGUGAAAUACUCUAGCUCAACUAGAGGGGUGCCAUUGAUACUGAUGAGCUUGAGUACAGAUGAGGUAGGCGGAAUUGACGGUGUAGCGGUGAAAUGCUUAGAUAUCGUCAAGAACACCUAUAGCGAAGGCAGCUUACUAGGCUGUAACUGACGCUGAGGCACGAAAGUGUGGGGAUCAAACAGGAUUAGAUACCCUGGUAGUCCACACUGUAAACGUUGAUUACUCGCUGUGUGCGAUAUACAGUACGCGGCCAAGCGAAAGCGAUAAGUAAUCCACCUGGGGAGUACGCCGGCAACGGUGAAACUCAAAGGAAUUGACGGGGGUCCGCACAAGCGGUGGAGCAUGUGUUUAAUUCGAUGAUACGCGAGGAACCUUACCUGGACUAGAAUGCCCUUGACCGAUCCAGAGAUGGAUUUUUCUGCAAGGACAAGGAGCAAGGUGCUGCAUGGCCGUCGUCAGCUCGUGCCGUGAGGUGUUGGGUUAAGUCCCGCAACGAGCGCAACCCCUAUUUUUAGUUGCCAACAGGUUAAGCUGGGGACUCUAAAAAGACUGCCCGCGCAAGCGGAGAGGAAGGAGGGGACGACGUCAGGUCAUCAUGGCCCUUACGUCCAGGGCUACACACGUGCUACAAUGGCGUAUACAGAGUGUUGCAAACCAGCGAUGGUAAGCC
rnacentral:rRNA from 1 species